AUUAACAGGCAAUGAUUCUGUCAUAGGACUUUUGGUUAUAGGUUGAUAUGAAAACGGACGGUAUAAAACCAAACUUUCUCACAUCGAUGACUGCGUGAACCUGUGUGGAGCUAAUUGCAAGAAAUCUCUAAGGCGUGAGAACAAAGGUAUUACAGGAACAUUGGUUAGGAUGUGGAGAUGGCCAAUGUAACAGAUGGUUUUGAGUACUAUUACGACUAUGUGGAUUUUGUAAGCUUUGAUGAAAGCAAGCUAAAAGCAAACAAAUAUUCGAUUGUCAUUGCUUUUUGGGUCGGCCUUGCACUUUUUGUGGUAUUUUUAUUCCUUACUUUGCUCUACAUAUCGAGAACUUUCUCAACGCGAACACAUCAUUACAGGUACCCUCAAAGAAUAUGAGAAAACAGAAGCAAUCUACGUAGCCACAGUUCCAGAGUGAAAUGACAAUGGGGACAGUAUUCAGCAUUUCAGCCCCAAGUCGCGUUGCUUGGUUUUAAUUUCUUUGCCGUUUUCAGUCUCCUCUUCUCCUAGCAACUGCUGCUGCAGCUCCUCGCUGGGAUUGGAUCCCGAGCUCACAGUUGUUACAAUGCACAGUGCAGGAAACAGACAGAGAUCCAGCUGCCAGCUAUAAAAUACA